UCUCUGCUUUAACAUGGGGGUACCUGCUACGUAAUAAAAAGUAAGUGCUUCCAUGUUUCAGUGGAGA
rnacentral:pre_miRNA from 15 species